rnacentral:SRP_RNA from 1 species
GCCGGGUGCGGUGGUGCGUGCCUGUAGUCCCAGCUACUCGGGAGGUUGAGGUGGGAGGAUCGCUUGAGCCCAGGAGUUCUGGGCUGUAGUGCUCUGUGCCGACUGGGUGUCUGCACUAAGUUCGGUACCAAUAUGGUGACCUCCAGGGAGCGGGGGACCACCAGGUUGCCUAAGGAGGAGUGAGCCAGCCCAGGUCGGAAACAGAGCAGGUCAUAACUCCAGUGCCGAUCAGUAGUGGGAUUGCGCCUGUGAAUAGCCACUGCACUCCAGCCUGGGCCACAUAGUGAGACCCCAUCUUU